AACGAACGCUGGCGGCAUGCCUAACACAUGCAAGUCGAACGAAGGCUUCGGCCUUAGUGGCGCACGGGUGAGUAACGCGUGGGAAACUGCCUAUUGGUGGGGAAUAACGACGGGAAACUGUCGCUAAUACCGCAUAAGCCCUUCGGGGGAAAGAUUUAUCGCCGAUAGAUGUGCCCGCGUCCGAUUAACUAGUUGGUGAGGUAAUGGCUCACCAAGGCGACGAUCGGUAGCUGGUCUGAGAGGAUGAUCAGCCACACUGGGACUGAGACACGGCCCAGACUCCUACGGGAGGCAGCAGUGGGGAAUAUUGGACAAUGGGCGAAAGCCUGAUCCAGCAAUGCCGCGUGAGUGAUGAAGGCCUUAGGGUUGUAAAGCUCUUUCGGGUGGGACGAUGAUGACGGUACCACCAGAAGAAGCCCCGGCUAACUUCGUGCCAGCAGCCGCGGUAA
rnacentral:rRNA from 1 species